GGGGAAAGAAGAUAGGCGCUCCGCGGCAAGGUUUGCUGGGACUCGGUGCCGUCGGCGGGUCGAAGCUCGGUGGUGGGCGGCUUGGAGUGAUGGAGGUGUCUUCUUUCAGUUGGCGGCGCGGCGUCUUCCUCGAGGCGGUGGUCGGUCUUCUAGGUCCAGUGGUCAGUGCUUUGUCUCAAUAACAGGAACAGGAAUUGCUCUUUAGUGCACAGCACUUAAAUGUGCUUUUGACAGGAGAAGACAUCCCCAGAGUUGGGCUCGAGUCAUGGUUUGUGCUGUUCCUCUCAGACAUGGUUGUGUUCUCUUCUCGAUGUUUGUAUUCCAGAAUGGAUGUCUCUUGGUUGUAUUUUAAACUUUCAAGUUGUUUUAAGUUAAUUUUAAUGUAGUUUAUUUGUUUUAAAUUUAGUUUUGCUACAUUAAAUUUGUAUGCAAUCGUAAGGGAUUGUGGGUAUUUUAGUUCUGAGGGAUGAGAGCCUAAGGAAUCAAUCUUCAUGUUACAGCAAAGGAUUGUGGGUAAAACCGUGAGUGAGUGAGGUACUUCCUUUCUGCCAUGAGAGCCUUGGGAAUCAAUCUCCCUGUUGCAGCAAAGGAUUGUGGGUAAAACCGUGAGUAAGGGAGGUACAUUUUUCCUGGCAUGAGAACCUCAGGAGUCAGUCCUUCCUAAGAAAAAAGAGGGGAGGGGGGGAAGACAAACAAAAGCACAGGAACCCUAAAAUGAAAUAAAAUAAAAUAAAAUAAAAUAAUAUAAAACAAUGAAAAAAUAAAAAAGAAGAACAAAAGUGGAUUGCAAAAGGGAAAGGAGAAGAAAAAAGGAAAAAAAGAAGUGUCAAGAGCAAAUAGCAAAAAACAGAAGUGAGCUUAAAAACAGAGAACAGUUCCCUAAAAGACAGACAGAAAUGUAAAUUUGAUCAAUGUCCUAAGGGAAAAUCUGCACGUGUAUGUGUUUUCUUUUUUACUAGCUUAGUCUGGUGUCACUGAUGGUCAGUUAUCAAUAAGUAUUUAUUAUUUAAAUUUUUGAUGAAGUUGUUUGUAGUGGGGUUAGCUGGCUAAUUUUAGUGUGUUAAAAAAGAUGUUAGAGGGGGAGGAUUUAGGUGGCAUGGCGGUUCCCCUUCAGGUCUCUCUUAAUCCUCAAUAUAGGUGACCCAACAGGGGUUACCCCCCGGCCGGGGUAGGCCGAGGCUGAAGAUCACCUAUUUGUCCUCUGUGAAGGUGAAAAUAAAGGGGCAGGGGAGGGAAUAAGAAAGAGGGGGGGUGUUAGAGAGAGGGGGAGAGAUGAGGGAGAGAGAUGAGGGAGAGAGAGAGAGAGAGGGGGGGGGGGGUGAGAGAGAGAGAGAGAGAAGGGAAGAGGGAGAGGGGGGUUUAAGGGAGAGGUGGAGAUGGUGGAAAAUAAAGAUUGGUGAGGGGGAUUUGGUGGCGGAUGAAACAUCCCAUAGCUCCCCAGCUCUCACCAUCCAUGUGAGGAGAGUGAGCAAGGGACAUAGUCACCCGACCCGACUAGGUCUAGGCUCUGCUCUCCUCACGGUCCUCACAAGAUACAAAGAGAUAUGUAAACGUGGAAGUGAGAGUUCUCUAGGCAGAGUUUUGGGUUUGGUUUGAGCUGAGUUGGUCAGUUGAUUAUUGAUUACUAUUUUAAGUUCUAAAAGUAAAUAGAGUCAAAAAGUCACAGAGGAUUGUGGUGGGAGCAGGUGGUCCAUCUGGCACCAUUCUGCUCAUGCAGGGAUUCGAGUGAUAGAAAGAGAAUAGAUCUUGCCACCGUGACUCGCCAUUGAGACUCUCCUCACCUGCUGGUUUUCAUCCUCUGAUAGGAGAGAGAGGUACAGAUCAGGAGAGAGGGAGAAAAGGAGGGAGGCAGGGUGGGGUCAGGAGUUAAUUUGUCUUGAAAAGUAUUUAUCUUUUCGUCAUUGCUGUUAGGGUUUAGAUGUUUUUUGUUUAGUUUUCUGAGGAAUGUAGUGUUAGUAUAGGUUCCAAGGUGGAGGAUUCUUUGGAAUUCACUCUCACCCUUGAAACUGGAAGAUCUUAGAUUCUAUAAAGGGGGGGGGGGGGGGUGAGAGGUUGUGUGCACAGAAGGAGCAUGGGCUCAGACUAUUCUCGGAAUGAUAUUGUGACAAGUCUGUCCGAAGGUAAGUGGCUGGUUAGGUGUGGGAAAGAGAUAGAGUGAUAGCCCCCGCUUUCGUCAGUUGACUUGGCGGUUUGAGGUAGGCUGAUCAAGGGCUUGCACUGGCCGGCGCAUGUCGACCUGUCACAUGUUCCAGUCGAGUCUCCGAGCUCAAUCUGUGUGUAAAAAUUGUGUGUUGGUAGAAAGUUUAAUGACUCAGCUCAGUUGGUAUGCUAUGCUGUCUAUCUUUUAGACUAUGUGUUUGUAGAGCAAUAUUAUGUAUAUAUUUUGUUACAGGGCUAGGAAAAGGUUAAAGGUUUUUGACGUUAGGGUUAAAAUCACUGUCCAAAACCUUUGUAGGAACUCUUUUCCAACCUUUUGGAGGGAGCUAGACUAAAAAAAAAAGAAAAAAGAAAAAAAAAAAUUGGGGGUGUUCGGGCUUCCUGAAGGUAAUACCCGGGUAUUAGGUUACGGGGCUAGGGUAAGGUUUAAGGCUUUUGGCGUAUGGCUUAAAAUCACUGUCCAAAACCUUUUUAGGAACAUGUUUCAGACCUUUUGGAGUUAGUUAGACCAAAAAAAAUGAAAAAUGAAAAAAAUAUAUUUGGGGUGUUCAGGCUUCCUGAAGGUAAUACCCGGGUAUUAGGUUAGGGGCUGAGGUAAGGUUUAAGGUGUUUGGUGUGAGGGUUAAAAUCACUGUCCAAAACCUUUGUAGGAACUCUUUUCCAACCUUUUGGAGUUAGUUAGACCAAAAAAAAAAAACGAAAAAUGAAAAAACAAUAUUUGGGGUUUUCGGGCUUCCUGAAGGUAAUACCCGGGUAUUAGGUUAUGGGGCUAGGGUAAGGUUUAAGGUUUUUGGCGUGAGGGUUAAAAUCACUGUCCAAAACCUUUGUAGGAACUCUUUUCCAACCUUUUGGAGUUAGUUAGACCACAAAAAAUGAAAAAUAAAAAAAAAAUAUUUGGGGUGUUCGGGCUUCCUGAAGGUAAUACCCGGUAUUAGGUUUUGGGGCUAGGGUAAGGUUUAAGGUUUUUGGCGUUAGGGUUAAAAUCACUGUCCAAAACCUUUUUAGGAACAUGUUUCAGACCUUUUGGAGAUGGUUACACCAAAAAAAAUGUAAAAUGAAAAAAAAAAUAUUUGGGGUGUUUGGGCUUCCUGAAGGUAAUACCCGGGUAUUAGGUUAUGGGGCUAGGGUAAGGUUUAAGGUUUUUGGCGUGAGGGUUAAAAUCACUGUCCAAAACCUUUGUAGGAAGUCUUUUCCAACCUUUUGGAGUUAGUUAGACCAAUAAAAAAAUGAAAAAUAAAAAAUAAAAAAUUUGGGGUGUUCGGGCUUCCUGAAGGUAAUACCCGGGUAUUAGGUUUUGGGGCUAGGAUUAGGUUUAAGGUUUUUGGCGUUAGGGUUAAAAUCACUGUCCAAUAUUUUUUAAGGAACAUGUUUCAGACCUUUUGGAGUUAGUUAGACCAAAAAAAAAGAAAAAAGAAAAA